rnacentral:rRNA from 1 species
UACGGGGGGGGGCAAGCGUUGUUCGGAAUUACUGGGCGUAAAGGGCUCGUAGGCGGCCAACUAAGUCAGACGUGAAAUCCCUCGGCUUAACCGGGGAACUGCGUCUGAUACUGGUUGGCUUGAAUCCGGGAGAGGGAUGUGGAAUUCCAGGUGUAGCGGUGAAAUGCGUAGAUAUCUGGAGGAAUACCGGUGGCGAAGGCGGCAUCCUGGACCGACAUUGACGCUGAACGGCGAAAGCUAGGGGAGCAAACGGG